rnacentral:rRNA from 1 species
UACGUAGGCAGCGAGCGUUGUUCGGAGUUACUGGGCGUAAAGGGUGUGUAGGCGGUCGUUUAAGUUUGGUGUGAAAUCUCCCGGCUCAACCGGGAGGGUGCGCCGAAUACUGAAUGACUUGGAGUGCGGGAGAGGUGAGUGGAAUUCCUGGUGUAGCGGUGAAAUGCGUAGAUAUCAGGAGGAACACCGGUGGUGUAGACGGCUCACUGGACCGUAACUGACGCUGAGACACGAAAGCGUGGGUAGCAAACAGG